rnacentral:rRNA from 1 species
GACAGAGGGGGCAAGCGUUGUUCGGAAUUACUGGGCGUAAAGGGCGCGUAGGCGGAAUGGUAAGUCGGUCGUGAAAUCCUUCGGCUCAACCGAAGAACGUCGAUCGAAACUGCCGUUCUUGAGGAUUGCAGAGGAGACUGGAGUUCCCGGUGUAGCGGUGAAAUGUGUAGAGAUCGGGAGGAACACCGGUGGCGAAGGCGGGUCUCUGGGCAAUUCCUGACGCUGAGGCGCGAAAGCGUGGGGAGCAAACGGG